CCUACGGGGGGCAGCAGUGGGGAAUAUUGGACAAUGGGGGCAACCCUGAUCCAGCCAUGCCGCGUGUGUGAAGAAGGCCCUCGGGUUGUAAAGCACUUUCAGUGAGGAAGAACGCCUGGUGGUUAAUACCCAUCAGGAAAGACAUCACUCACAGAAGAAGCACCGGCUAACUCCGUGCCAGCAGCCGCGGUAAUUCGGAGGGUGCGAGCGUUAAUCGGAAUUACUGGGCGUAAAGCGCGCGUAGGUGGCUUGAUAAGCCGGUUGUGAAAGCCCCGGGCUCAACCUGGGAACGGCAUCCGGAACUGUCAAGCUAGAGUGCAGGAGAGGAAGGUAGAAUUCCCGGUGUAGCGGUGAAAUGCGUAGAGAUCGGGAGGAAUACCAGUGGCGAAGGCGGCCUUCUGGACUGACACUGACACUGAGGUGCGAAAGCGUGGGUAGCAAACAGGAUUAGAUACCCUUGUAGUC
rnacentral:rRNA from 1 species